AUUGAACGCUGGCGGCAGGCCUAACACAUGCACGUCGAACGAGUGGCGGACGGGUGAGUAAUGUCUGGGAAUCUGCCUGAUGGGUGGGGAUAACUACUGGAAACGGUAGCUAAUACCGCAUACCCUCAGAUGCGCCCAGAUGGGAUGAGCUUGUUGGUGGGGUAACGGCUCACCAAGGAGACGAUCCCUAGCUGGUCUGAGAGGAUGACCAGCAAGACUGGAACGGAGACAAGGUCCAGAUGCCUACGGGAGGAAGCAGUGGGGAAGAUUGCACAAUGGGCGCAAGCAGGAGGCAGCCAUGCCGCGUGUAUGAAGAAGGCCGUCGGGUGGUAAAGUACUUUCAGCGGGGAGGCGUUACCCGCAGAAGAAGCACCGGCUAAAUCCGUGCCAGCAGCCGCGGUAAUUC
rnacentral:rRNA from 1 species